AGAAUCUUUCAGCAAGUUGAGAAGAGGAGCGGUUGGAGUGCUGACAAAAGGUGAAAGCUUGGUUUCUGAAGCCUUCAGAAGAAGCUGCCUGCUUCAAACCAGGCAUGAGGAAGAUGCAAGCACAUCUACACGAAAUACAUGCCCAGCCAUAACGGUUUGUUUUCAGACUGUAAUAGAAGUGAUGCUGUUUUAGUAAAAUAAAAAAAGAAAUGGA